ensembl:lncRNA
UUGGGGUGGGUCGCACGACGUUCAGGGCAAGGGCCUGGCUGCCAGGAGGCACCCACCUCCACCACCUUCAUCUUCCGGCUGGGCAUGUUCUCCACGGCAGUGUCCAGGCAGGCCCUGAGCGCCGGGGAGUCCAGGAGGCCGCUGAGCAGAGGGUCCUCUGACAGCUCAGGCCUCUUCUGGGCCAGCACCUGCGCCAGCUCCAGCUGCAGGUUCCCGUUGAGCUGAAGCCUGCAGGCAGCUGACAGCAGCUGGGGCAGUCCCUGCUGUAGGGGGUCCUGGGGGACCUGGGCCCCAUCCAGUCCGGGCACCACCAUCCUCAGCCCCUGCUGGGUCACCUUGGUCUGCAGUGCCUGCGCCAGCCCUGGGGAGGGAGGGAGGCAGGCCUGGUGUUCCCAAAGCCCCAGGGCAUCUGCCUGGCAUGGGCUCUCAGACCCACACUGUCUUUCUGGGGCCAACACCCAGCUCUGCCUACAGGACAAGAAAUAGCUGAGGGAUGAGGAGGGGGCUGCCCACCAUUGUGACGUUGACUCCUGACCACCGUGGACACAGUGAGGGGCCGCAUUCAGCUGCAGAGACUACUCUGCCUAGCCAAAGUGUGACCUGGGGCUGAAUCUGUCAUCUUUGCCCCCAAGACCCCCUUCAAGACUGAGGAACAGUGACCAGGGACAAGGAAGACAGGGGGCUGGGGAGGGAGGGACGCUGCCGUCAUAAGCUCCGGCCGGAGAGUUGGGCUGGGGUUGCUGACUCCGAAGGGGGCCCCAUGGAGAGGCAAGUCUGGGGUCAACACGAAAGGGAGGCGAUCAUUCCCCAUCGCCAGGGGUGUCCGAAGUUGGCAGGGCCGGGACCUCACCCUUGCACAGCUGCAGCUCCUUCUGCAGGGCAGCACGCUCAGACAGGCACCCCUCCUCCACGUGGGGCGUGAAGCAAAACUUCUCCAGGAUGGGCACCUGCUGGUCCUGCUGCCGCCGCGGGGCCGACUCAGUGUGGACACGGGACAUGUGGACGCCUCCGGCCACUGUGAUGCUCAGCCACCUGCUCACCACCACGUCAGCCACUGUGGGGACAGCCGGGCAGGCAGGUGUGGAAGAACCUGAAGACGGGUGGCAUGGCCAGCGGGCACAGCCCCCGCAGCUCCCACGCCACCAGCCCUGCUUACCACUCACUAUCAGGUUGCCGUUCUGUGACACCUCGAAGGCGCGGGAGGCCUCCAGGAGCCGUACCUCCAGGGACACGGUCCCUGCAGAGCAGGAGAGUCUGAGAUCAGAGGGCAGCACCUGCCCCCAGCUGCCCCCGCCUUGGUCCUGGGGUGCCCCUCACCAGUCUUGGGCAGGAUGGUGGCCUGGUGCAGCACCACGUCCUCAAACACCACAGGCAGCUGCUCCACGGCCAGGCCCAGGGCCCGGGCCAGCGUCUUCCACACUAUGCACAGGUAGCCAGUGGCGGGGAAGAUGACGCGGCCAUCGAUGGUGUGAUCCACCAGGUAGUGGUCGGGAGACUCGGAGCUGGUGUCUGCAGGAGGGCACAGGCCUCAGCACUGGUGUGGGGAGGGAAGAGCUUGCCCACCCACCGGGCCCCUGCUCACCGAUGUUGUAGACGGCGGCCGAGGGGGAACCAGAGCCGUUGGGGAAGUCCUCGGCAGCUGGCACGUCCCAGGCCAGGCUGUGGUCCCACUUGAUGAGUGGGGAGAUGAGGGGGGUUCCUCGGGGAGCUGGGAACUCCACAGGCGGGAACAGGGCAUUGGGGUUGGCGUCGAUGCUGUGGAGAAGGGAGGCACAGGCGGCACAUCCGUCACCGGGGUCCAGGGGCUCUGGGUUCAGCCGACCCACUCCCUGUGGUGGACCAUCCAGGGCUGCUCCCACCAGCCUGGGUCAGUGAGGGUCCGGCAGCCCUGCUCACCCACCCCACGCCGUCGACUGCAGGAGAUGAGGCCCGCGAUGGGAAGGGACCCACCCUGAGAGGUGCAGCCUGCCGAUGCCGGUGAGGAAGAACUCCAGGUUGUCCCUGUGAUCCUUCUUCAUCAGGGGGAUGAUGGUGCAGCCCGGCUUCAGGCCACGCUUCAGGACAGCCUGGGGGCGGCAGGGCGCGUGGGCUCCCUUGGUGCUCAGCCGAGGUGCCCGUCCCAGAUUCCUGGCGCCCGCCCCCAGGCUGGGCCUACCUGCAGCAGGGCAUGGGGCGCGACCUCCAGCACCACCGCGUGCUCGGGCACGUGACACAGGGCCUCCUGGAACAGCACAGGGCUGACCAGGUUGUUGACAUUGUACUCGGCAGAGGACGUGCGUGCCAGGCUGCUGUGCCACUGGGCCUCGGGGAUGGAGGUGCUGAGCCAGCGGGCUGAACGUGGCUUCGGCUCCCGGAUCACCUGCACGAGGGGCUAGGUCAGUGCUGGGUCACGGGCACCCCCGCCCAGCGCCCCCCGGGCCGAGUCAGCACCUUCUUGAGCGCCUGCAGCAGUGGGGGUGCGAUGGCCUCCAUGAAGUAGGAGUGGAAGGCCAUGCCGCCGGUCCGCACCUCCUUGGCAAACACACCCUCCUUCCUCAGCUGCUCCAUGAACUCGAACACAGAGGCC